GCGCGCUGCGGCCGCCGCAGCGGAGCGCGGCGCUGCGGGGGCGUCGUGGCCGGUAGGGGGCGCUGCGGCGCCGGCGGAGCAGGUUGAACAGCCCCAACUUCCUCAGUCUGUGUCAUGAUACUCAGAGAAAUGAGUAAGACAGGGUGUACUGGAUUGGGAGCCAUUGAAGGGACACAGGUGAUGCCAGCUGAAAGUCACCAGCUGAUGGGAACAGCUCUAAGGUUCCUCUUACUCCUGUCAGCACUUCCUCUGCUGGAAGCGGAAUUCAUGUCAACCUGCAAAACCAUUAAAGAAGCAAAUUGUCCUUCCGUUGUUCUUACCAAUAAAAAAGAACCAAACCUGAAAA